CCUACGGGUGGCAGCAGUGAGGAAUAUUGGUCAAUGGGCGGAAGCCUGAACCAGCCAAGUAGCGUGAGGGAUGAAGGCCCUACGGGUCGUAAACCGCUUUUGCAGGGGGAUAACACCCUCCACGCGUGGCGGUCCGCAGGUACCGUAUGAAAAAGCACCGGCUAAUUCCGUGCCAGCAGCCGCGGUAAUACGGAGGGUCCGGGCGUUAUCCGGAUUUAUUGGGUUUAAAGGGGGCGGAGGCGGGAGGACAAGUCUGCGGUUAAAUGUCGGGGCUCAACCCGGGCCUUGCCGGGGAAACUGGCGUUCUUGAGUGCGCGAGAAGCAUGCGGAAUGCGUGGUGUAGCGGUGAAAUGCUUAGAUAUGACGAAGAACCCCGAUUGCGAAGGCAGCAUGCCGGCGCUGAACUGACGCUGAUGCUCGAAAGCGUGGGUAUCGAACAGGAUUAGAUACCCUUGUAGUC
rnacentral:rRNA from 1 species